AUUUUCUCUGGUAGGUGAUCAAACUUGGGAGACAGAUCACAACCUAUAUUUCUUAAAACACCUUUUACUACUUAAGUUCGCAUAUAUUUAUAUUAUGAUUAGACUCAAGCUUUCAGUAUUAGCCACAGCUUUAUAAUAAUUAAUAAUUCACACCAGAUAUAUCCACAUACAGUUCAGACACACACACUCUCAUAGGGUCACUCAUAGUUAUGUGCAUGGAAUAACAGAUGGAGGCCAACUGGUAGAGUGGCCUGUAGGUAGGGCAGUCUCCACCUUCCUGGGUACCAGUUGCUUUGAACAAGUUCAGUACAAUUUGGAGUUCUGUCAGUUUUUGCAGGUUCAGUUGGACCAUCAGUCUCGUCUUAUCAAACCUUAGAAGAAUUUAAACACUGUUUCUUAGCAUGUGUGUAUCUUCUCUUCAGCCCUGCUAUUUUCUGUUAAGCACUUCUGCAUGUUGGUUCUCCUAGAUCUGUAUCUCACAAAGGACAGAACUUUCACAAGGGUUUACACAAAAAUGCUAUGACAUGUUGAUACUUGUACACCUGCCAGGUUAUACACAAAGGAUAGAGAUCCAUCUUCAAAUCCAUAUUGUGCAUACUUGAACUAUGUGGCAAUGCUAAGUCACGAGUAGGAUUCUCUCUCUUUACCCUCCAGGUAAAUGUACCUGCAGCUGUUUUUGAAAGGCAAUGUCAGUGAAGUAACACAUGUACAUAGAAAAGCCUGCUCAGGUUCCAGUCUCCGAAUAUUUCAGUGCAUUCAUCUGGGCAUUCUGAAGAUGAGGAAACCUUAAAUAAUUUAUGAUCCUAUCAGGCAAAAAUGGAUACCUUUUUCUUAUAUGCUGCUGGCUCUAGCCCUAUGGUUUCCACUUGGAAGAGCAACAUAAGAUUUAAUAUCUCUUCAAAGAGGAAAAGAGAGAAAGAAAGUGUGUGCACACAAACAAAAGAAAACCAGAACAGACGUAUCUCUUGUUAUUUUACUGUUAAUCCCAAAUUAAAAUACUUUGUUACUGUUCCCACAGUAAACUUGGAAAAGAUCUGACAGCCCAGUAGGAAAGGAACAAAGAGAAGAUCAUGACUUUUUAAGGGAGGAAACAUAAAUAUUGCAGUUCUUCUCAAAAGGAGAGAAGUAAAUUUAAAGAGAAAUCAAGGACUGUAAAGGAUCCAACACCUGUCUAAAAUAUUCUCCUUUUAAAAGGAAUUUCUGUUAUGGCCCCCAAAAAGAUCAGGGUUCUGAAAUUUUUGUUAUUUUAUAUGUCUCAUAUCUGCUGCUAAAACCACUGGACAACUUUCUGUCUUCCAAAUGAUAAUCAAAUCAUCUUGUACUUCCAUUGUAUUGCCUUUACAUUUAUGAAUCACAGCAUAUUGAUUUCACCCUUACAUGCACUGAGGUAGACUCUCGCUUAAUAGACAAAAUGACUAUUUGCUUUCUGUACACCCUACUAUCUCUAUUUCUUUUCUGCACUAUAAUCUGUGACUUACAGUAGGCCACUGCUCAGUAAAAUGGUGAGGUGCUAGUUCAGCCUAAUAUUGUUCUGCUUUUUAAAUCUAACUGCCAGUCCAUUGUUACCUCACUUUUCCAGUACAUGCUCUUUAAAUUAUCUGACUUCCCAAUAAGUUGAACAGUGCAUUAUAUUCACCUGAAAAUUGUUCAGAUAAUUAUCUCAUACAAUAUUUGAUCCCUUCCCAACAUUCAGUGUUGGCUACUGUUCUCUACUCCAUGCUGUGCAGUUCCAAUUUAUCAUUCAACUUCUGUAACGUUGAAUAUUACGCUGAAUUACACAUCAUAUUGCAUUCAAUCCUUUGCCAUCUUGGAUGUAACAUAAAGCACUGGAGUGUCAUUACAGCAUCCUUCGUUAAUUUUUUUGGUUUUUUUUUUCUUCUACACCUUUCCUCACUUCUCUAAGGAGAUUACAGGUUUCUGAUCUGUGACCUGGAAACACAGUGCAAGUUCUAUUUCAUACACUUAAUGUGCAAAUGUGCUUUGUAACAUUUGUUACAAGUGCAUGUCACCAAAGCUUGUACUUUUCCCUUGAGUCUUCCUGUUUGUUAACCUACUCACUUCCUGCCAAAAGCUUUUCUCACAUUUUUACCAGGAAAGGUAUAAAUUUGUUCAUAUUCAUUUUUUAUUAGGACAUCAAGUGACAUAUUAGACCCUAAACACUUUUGUCUUUUCUAGUCUCUUUGCUGGGAAAAAAAUAUUAAAAAAAAAUUUAAAAUAAAUGAUAUAUAUAGCUUGAUACA
rnacentral:lncRNA from 1 species